rnacentral:rRNA from 1 species
UACGUAAGGUGCAAGCGUUGUCCGGAAUUAUUGGGCGUAAAGAGCUCGUAGGCGGUCUGUCGCGUCGGAUGUGAAAAUCCAGGGCUCAACCCUGGACCUGCAUUCGAUACGGGCAGACUAGAGUUCGGUAGGGGAGACUGGAAUUCCUGGUGUAGCGGUGAAAUGCGCAGAUAUCAGGAGGAACACCGGUGGCGAAGGCGGGUCUCUGGGCCGAUACUGACGCUGAGGAGCGAAAGCGUGGGGAGCGAACAGG